rnacentral:rRNA from 1 species
UACGUAGGUGGCAAGCGUUAUCCGGAUUUAUUGGGCGUAAAGAGAACGCAGGCGGUCUUUUAAGUCUGAUGUGAAAGCCUUCGGCUUAACCGGAGUAGUGCAUUGGAAACUGGGAGACUUGAGUGCAGAAGAGGAGAGUGGAACUCCAUGUGUAGCGGUGAAAUGCGUAGAUAUAUGGAAGAACACCAGUGGCGAAAGCGGCUCUCUGGUCUGUAACUGACGCUGAGGCUCGAAAGCGUGGGGAGCAAACAGG